rnacentral:rRNA from 1 species
GACGAACGCUGGCGGCGUGCCUAAUACAUGCAAGUAGGACGCAGUUGCGAACGGGUGAGUAACGCGUAGGUAACUACCUAUUAGAGGGGGAUAACUAUUGGAAACGAUAGCUAAUACCGCAUACUAGUAGAUGGAACUGCGUUGUAUUAGCUAGUAGGUAGGGUAAUGGCCUACCUAGGCAACGAUACAUAGCCGACCUGGGUGGGUGUACGGGCAAACUGGGACUUGGGAACGGCCCAGGAUCCUACGGGAGGCAGCAGUAGGGAAUCUUCGGCAAUGGGGGGAACCCUGACCGCGCAACGCCGCGGGGGGGAAGAAGGUUUUCGGAUCGUAAAGCUCUGUUGUUCAGGAAGCGGUACUUAACCAGAAAGGGACGGCUAACUACGUGCCAGCCGCCGCGGUAAUAC